rnacentral:tRNA from 1 species
GCCCCCGUAGCUCAGUUGGUUAGAGCUGCCGACUUUUAAUCGGUAGGUCGUCGGUUCGAGUCCGACCGGGGGCA